CUAAGUUACUAACAACCACCCCUGUUUGCUUUCCUCAUGCACAAAGAUAACCCCCCUUGCAUCGGGGCGUUAAAUUUUAGAGGUAGGGGUAUUUCGGUAAUAUAAUGUUAGAUGGAGCCGUUCUUUCCUUAACCCAAUUCCGUUCCCCCUCUUCUAAAUCUCUUCCUCUCCUGCAAACCGCUACAUUUCUGUCUCGUCCGCCUCUUCACGUCUUCCAGGCGCCGUACCUCUCGCUCUGUUCGGAGGACGAAAGAUUGAAGUAGAACCGCGUUUCUGUUGAAGGACGCCGCCAUCGAUGCGCCUCUCCGAGACCCCUAUGCCAUCCGUCGAACGAAUCGAAGCGAAGCUGCUCUGUGAAUCUCGUUCGGCGUCAGACAUGAUGAGGUUCGCUGCGAUCUCUGUCUGCAUCCCUCUGCUUCCGUGUUCGUCUGAUGGGUCCCAACUGGCAAGCUUCUUUGCUCUUGUUCUUCGGAGGCCUUGUUGCUUGGGACCGAUGUCAUCUUCUGCCUUUUGAUUGACUAGAUGUUCGGUCGGAGGCGGAUGCCAUGGAUGUGGGGGAGCGUUUCUCCAAAUGGGGGGUGGGGUUUUGCUUUCCAUGUAUAUUUUGUCGGACCUCCGAUGUCCUCUGCUGGUUCUUAGGGCGCUCUCAUAGCCCGUAGUGGGCUUUGCGGUCGAAAAAACCGCGAGGUUUUCAUUAUGGAUCGCCAAAUGUUCCACCUUUUCUUCCUCUUUUGCUUUUUUUUGCGCUGUUUGGAUGAGUCGGCCCAUCUCAUUGUAGAUUUUUGUGGUUUCUGAUCGAUGUAGCGCGGUUUUAGUGUUCUGGUUGUCUUUCGCAGAGAAAUGGCACGAGUUUGCUUCUUUCUUUGGAUUUGAGUUGGUUCCGUGCUUUUCACUUGUUGCGCUGCCUAGAAACUGCGAGCACCGUCAUCUGCUGCUUCAUGUCGCGCUGCUCUUCUCUUCUUAUAUUCAGUCAAGGAAACAUCUUCAGUGUAACGUCUGCAGUUUGUAAGAGAAGAUGUGCCUUGUAGAUUAGUCUUCGUUUUCCCCCGCUUCUGUUCUCAAUCGAGUUCGAAGGAUGUGUUGCAAGUAUUUUCUCAAGGAAUCAAUCCACUCCUCCAUUGAUUUGAGCGAAAAAGAACCAACUCUUUUGCUUUCAACAGAUUUGCAAUCGACGGAUCUAUACUUGGUUUCCUUCUCCCUGUGGACGAUCGUCGUCUUCUUCUCAUGCUAUCUAUGGGAGUUGUACCAGAGAGUAAGCAGCCCGGAUGUCCUUCCCCUCGGCAAUGGAAAGAAGCACAGCUUGAGAACCUCCAAGGAAGACGACGCCGAUGAAGCUGGCAGAAUCGCAAACCAUUCCCCCUCGGAAGCCAAAUCCUCGAGGUCGAGAUCCGCCUCCUGGUCGGCCAACCCGUCACCGACGAGAGACCACCAUUUGCCGCACAUCUCCUACCAGGCGCAGUCUGACGCCGGACCGCUCCUCACUUCAGGCUCGUUAUUUCCAUUCACCUCUGCCGGACCAGCGACAGCUGAGAACCACCACCACAUCGACGGGGUGGGCCACGGCGGAGGCGGCGACGUUCUCCUCCGGUGGGGGCACAAGAAGCGGUCGCGGGGACCGAGAACGGAGGGCCGUGCAGCGGCGGCGGCGGCGGCGGCGGCUAUGCCACCGCCCUGUGGGCCGUACUCCAAAGUGGGUUACCUCAGGCCGUCCACGCCCGUCCGUGCUGCAACGGCAUCUCUUGCCAACAGCCGGGCCGUGGAGGAGCGAUCGGGAGGUGCACCACGAUCCGAAAAGCGCUUGCCGCAAGACCCACCGGCGAAGGCGAAUCUGGAUGCGGAAGCCGGCGGCGCCGCCGCGACGGAGAAGCCGAAUCUGGACCGUUUCAUGUGGCCGCGGAUCUACGUCUCCCUCUCCAGGAAGGAGAAAGAGGACGACUUCUUGGCGAUGAAGGGGACGAAGCUUCCCCAGAGGCCCAAGAAACGGGCCAAGAACAUCGACAGGUCUCUCCAGUAUUGCUUUCCAGGGAUGUGGCUGUCGGACUUGACGCGGGGACGGUAUGAAGUAAAGGAAAAGAUGCGUGUGAGAAAGAAAUAGUGACGGAAGAGAGAAUCAAAUAGGCCUUUUUCGAUGUUGCAUUAUAUCACUCUCUUAAAGAAAGCAAAGCUUAGCUGGUAGUAGAUCAUGAAAGACACUUGAUGAAAUCAAGUUAGAGCUGCUGUGGUGGUGGUGGUGGUGGUUGUGGUGAUGGAUUGGAAGCAAAGGGGGUUGAAGGGAAUAAUGGGGAGCGAUUCCGAGUGAAGGCUGCGGGAAGCGGAACGAGCCGUGUUGAUCCGAAGAAAUGGAGGGCGGGGGCGCAAACAAGGAGGCAGGAGGAUGCGUCCGCCAUUGCCCGCUCGAAGUUGUGCUUCUUGUUCUCGUUUUUUUAGGUGUCUCCGGCUUUUUGGCUCUCGUGUUGUCCUUACUCCCUUUGCACAAUCUCAAGUGUUUUUGGUUUGGUUUCUUUCCGAGAGCGGGUGCAUGGGGGCCCCGCCGCCCAGGGGACGAUAGCCUCUCAUACAGCAUAGAUGAAUUCUUCAGGAGAUCCAAUAAGCCUCUCGAAUGCUUGAUUCCCCCCCAACCCAACUCACUGGCACAUCCUAACCGAUGAAGCAAGUUGCGCAACCAAAUGUGGCAUAGAUGGGUUUUUCGUGACGCCGCAAAUAAUUUUGGGAGAAGAUGGUUGUAAUUGGUAUUCGGAAUCAAACACACUAUUAUUGGUUUGA